CAUUUGGAGAACAGGAAUUUUGAUGUGAUAGUGGCUGUCCUACCACUGCAUUCAGCAGAUAAUCAGAAGACAAAGAUGGAAUUCAUACAUUGCACAUCAUUGUUAUGUUCUGAUAACUGUUUUUAAGUCUUCUUUUUCUCCCUGUAGAAUGAAGCUGAUAGGACCUUGAUAUAUAUAACUCUCUACAUUUCUGAAUGUCUGAAGAAACUCCAAAAGUGCAAUUCCAAAAGCCAAGGUGAGAAAGAAAUGUAUACACUGGGAAUCACUAAUUUUCCCAUUCCUGGAGAGCCUGGUUUUCCACUUAACGCAAUUUAUGCCAAACCUGCAAACAAACAGGAAGAUGGUAAGAACAGGUCUCAAUCCUCACUCUAUGACACAAGAAGAUUUUCUCCAUUUGACUUCCUACCACCCCUCUUUUUCUUGCCUUGAUUCAUGUACAGAUUGAGAGUGAAAUCAUAGGAAGUACAUUAUCUUAUUAGUCACUCUCACAAACAAUUCUUGGCAACAAGGAAGACAUGCAGAAAAUCUUUUGAACAAAAACAAAUGUAGUUAUAAAACUAUUUGGACUGUCAUUUCUAUUUUGUAUCCUGUUCAAAUGUAUAAAAAUGUAUUACCACGGUGAGCAUCCAGACCUGCAGCCAGUACAUUUGGGAUGUAUUUGCAAAUACAGUUUUUUAAAAUUGUUCUGUUUUAGAAGUGAUGAGAGCCUAUUUACAACAGCUAAGGCAAGAGACUGGACUGAGACUUUGUGAGAAAGUUUUCGACCCUCAGAAUGAUAAACCCAGCAAGUGGUGGACUUGCUUUGUGAAGAGACAGUUCAUGAACAAGAGUCUUUCAGGACCUGGACAGUGAAGGGAGCCCGGGCAGCCACCGUCUCCAGAGCCCUGGGCAGCAUUUUCCAGCAAGAUGUACACAGUCUUUUGCCUUUAUUUCGUAAAGUUUUAUACAGAAGAGAGAAGAGCAUGUCUUUACUUGAAAAACUCUUGAUCAAGAAUUUGAGUGGGAGAAAAGAAAGUGGGUUAUCAAGGGUGAUUUGAAAUUUUCUGCAGCAUUAAGCUGGUGCUUAAUAAGUAAUAAUAAAGAAAUUUCU
rnacentral:sRNA from 1 species